rnacentral:lncRNA from 1 species
AAAAAUAUGGAAGAUUGAAAAUAAAAUAAGAAACAUAUAAUAAAAUUCUCAAAAUUUAAAAAUGCAAAAAAUUAUUUUUUAACCAAUUAAAAUAAAGGAGAAAAGAGAAAAUUCAUGAAAAUUAGAAAAUCAGUGAAAUAAAAUGUGAAAAAAUAAACAUUAGAUGAAGAAAAAUAAAGAGAAUUUUAGAAAUUAUUUUGGUAUUUUUUCUUAAAAAAAUGAAAUUACUAUGAAUUUUUAAAGAAAAAGAAAUUAAAAAUAAUAAAAGAAAAAAAAUUAAAAUUAGAAAAAACAAGGGGCAUUGGAUCACGCCUCAUUAAUUGACGUGGCAGAUCCAACACUCCAAAUAUUAUGAUGCACGAUGGAACACGCUGCAAGCUGAACACAUG